rnacentral:rRNA from 1 species
AUGGGGUUUGUUAAAUUGAAUGUGGAUGCUUCUUUUGAUCAUGAUCAGCUUAGGGGCACAGCGGAUGCUGUUAUCAGAUAUGAUAAAGAUAACUUCAUAGUAGGUGGUAACUGCAAGAUUCAGUACUGUGUGGAUGCUCUGACAGCAGAGGCAUUAGCACUCAGAUUUGGUUUACUGUUGGCACAAAAGACGGGCUGCAAUCGUCUCAUUGUCAAUUCUGAUAAUAUGGAAGUCAUCGACACAAUGAAGAACAGAGGACAGUCUGCGGGAGCGGCGACUUUUCGAGGAUUGUUUUUUAUGGCCUGUGAUUUUCCUCAAACCAAUUUUGAACAUUGUAAUAGGGAAGCGAAUAAAGUAUCUCAUGAGCUUGCUAGGUUAGCAAAAUGUUCCAUGACUAGGGAUUGGAUAGAGGAGCCCAUUGAAGAUCUUGUAACUCUCCUGAUAGACGAUGUAACCAUUAUUUCUAAUUAA